UAAGAAAUUGAGUAAGUGGACACAAUGAACAAUCACGCACAAAGAGGGAAAUCUGCUUUCCUCUCUCUGCAAUAUGUGGGAACAAGCAAAGAAACACUGCAGAGAACCACCUGGAAGACUCCUUGCAAAUCUUGCAAAGAGGCGUCUGGCCAACUGCUACUUCACACAGAGGUAAAGGAGUCUCAUUGUGCCCUGCGAUGGACUGGCACCCUGUCCAGGGUGUACCCCGCCUUGUGCCCAAUGCUCCCUGGGAUUGGCUCCAGGUGUCCCCGUGACCCUGAAGAAGGAGUAAGCGGUAGAAGAUGGAUGGAUGGAUGGAUGGAUGGAUGGAUGGAUGGAUGGAAGGAGUCUCCAGUGUCAGCGCUUUGUUGCCACAGGCAAAUUUAUGGGUGGAGGACAUUGUGUUUUGUAGUUUCUCUGCAACAUGACAAGCUGCAUUUUUUAGUCUUAUUAACUACAGUACAAGGGAAAGUGAGGGAAUGACUGUUUAUUGCUGUUAUACAGUAAGUCUUAACAGGAAAUAACUUUUGUUCUAGGACAUUCAUCAUCGUUAAUAUAACUAUAAAGUGAUUAAAGGCAUGCUCUUCCAUUCUUUACUUUAUAAUUUUUUUGUUAACGUUUUAAAGUUCCUGUUAUAGGGGGAAAAACAAUUUUAGGGUGGUAAUGUAUCACACCAGAAUUUUUUUUUAUUAAAAUUUUUUUAAAACUUGUUUAUAUUUUCACCUGUCAAUUCCCACCUACCAGCCGGCUCUCCCCUAUCAUGGCCAUGGUCUUGUCUUGUACAGUCCUGUUGUUGAUUAUUGUCCUAUAAAAGCAUGUCUUGCUGUGUUUUAUUUCAUACUUGUUACCAAUGUGUUUUGACUUGGUGCAGAGUAUCAUGGAUAAAUAGGUUACACUUACAGCAUUUGAUGGACGUUUCCGUGUCAGCGAUCUGCAGGAUUUAUUUAUUUAAACU